rnacentral:tRNA from 1 species
GCGAGAAUGGCGGAAUUGGUAGACGCGCUAGACUUAGGAUCUAGUGGAUAAUCUCCGUGAGGGUUCGAGUCCCUCUUCUCGCA